UCCUUCUGUUGUCUCUGCUUGUGCUCUUU
rnacentral:piRNA from 1 species